GGCAGGGGUGUAUUAAACGGGGAAGGGGGGAAAACGCGACGCGCAACGCCGCUGGAGAAGGCCUUCAUCUUGUAAAGUACUUUCCUGUCGGAGGAAGGCAUUAAGGUUUGAUUAAGAGUUGAUUGAGUUACAUGUACCAAGAAGAACAAGCUAACUCUAAGUCCGUGCCCGGGGCCGCGCGGAGGGUGAAGGGGUCAAUCUUAUUUACUGUUACUGGAGGGCACGGGCGCGGUUUGUUCUUACUGAUGUAAAAUCCCAGGGCCACGGCUGAGAACUGCAUUCGCUUCUGAUACUGUUGAGUCUUGUAAAGGGAGAGGGAAUUGGAAGUGUAGGGGUAAAAUGGAUAUGCAUCUAGAGGAAUACGAACACCGGUGGCGGCCCCCUGUUCCUGGACUGACGCUCACGUUCAAAAGCGAAGGGAGCAAACGCGAUUAGAAUCACAUACCCUCCACGCCCACGCCCAUGACGACUUGUAGGUUGUGCUCCCUGAGGUGGACCCCUGGGAGCUCAGACGUAACGUCUAACGCCUGGGGACUACGGACGCGAGGUUAAAACUCAAAAGACAUUGACAG
rnacentral:rRNA from 1 species